UACGUAGGGGGCAAGCGUUGUCCGGAAUUAUUGGGCGUAAAGAGCGUGUAGGCGGCCAGAUAAGUCCGCUGUGAAAUCUCGAGGCUCAACUUCGAGCUGUCGGUGGAAACUAUCUGGCUAGAGUCCGGAAGAGGAGAAUGGAAUUCCUGGUGUAGCGGUGAAAUGCGCAGAUAUCAGGAGGAACACCGAUGGCGAAGGCAGCUCGCUGGGACGGUACUGACGCUGAGGCGCGAAAGCGUGGGGAGCGAACAGG
rnacentral:rRNA from 1 species